GAGUAGUUUGUUUCUUGGCCACACUUUAUUGUUCACUUUUUUAUUUAAUGCUGCUUAGCUGCUCUGACACCAAAACUCAGAUUCCAACAAUCAUAAUGGCUAAAUGAGCACCAGAAGUAUUGAGCAGAAUGAUGAAAACUAGCACCAUGAGCUUUAACCAAAAAGAUAAUUAUGUCGCAACAUUUAGAUGCUACGUCACAAGAUUUAGAUGAUGUGAUACAAAGAUCCUGACACUAACACAGCAACUUUAGAGAAGUACAAUGAGAGAAUGUUAGAAACAAAUGGAUGAUUCAGUUUGUAAAACUUCACUUUUCAAUCACCCCCUGCAGCCUUUUUUGUUCUUUAAAAGCAAAGUCCUAGUUUCUCAGUGAGUCAGAUUCAUUGAAUCCUUGUGCACUCACUACUUAAUUCUUGUUACGCGUUGGUUCUUGACUCGUAUUUUGGGUCUUUUCUCCUAAUAGAUUCAGGAACCUAAACAUAUAACUAAUGAUUCUUUUCAAUCGUGCAAUUAAGGAAAUCAAUGGCACCUUGUAGAUAGCACAUAACUCUGAAGCAUUCAUCCAAAUAAAUGAAGCUCUUGGUAGCGCAUCCAAAUCUCUACUAGAACCACCCACUAUAACAUUUUAUGAUUCCAAAUUUACCUGUUCCCACUAAGAAACAUAUGCCAUUUGGCUCAAAGGGGUGAGUUUCCUUAUAUCUGCACUAAUAUGUUUUCUUCAGCUACAUGUUAGCAUCAGUCCGUUUCUCCAUGCUAUUUCUUGAAGAUGCAUGUAUUUACUUACAGAGGAAUUUUUUUAUGAAUAAUGAAGAGACCAGAAGUAAACAGAUUACAGGUGAUCAGAUGAUGUCUGGAUUGGUGAGGGAAUGCUCAAUUGGUUGUCGAGUUGAGUUGGUUCUGGUAUUUAGAUGCUGAAUUGGUACUUAAUGACGGAAUGCAAGGAUCUAGAGGGAAGGGGUUGAUGUUUAGGAUGGCUAAUGAAGGGAUGAAUGGGAUUGGAUUAGAAGCAAAACAGUAGGAUUUUUGUGGAUGAUCAUUGGUCGAACUGAGUUUUAUAGCUGGUGAACCCUAAAACCAGCAAACUAGGGUUAGGGUUUUGAUGAGAAUUUGGGAUUUUGAACCAGGGUUUGACAUGAAAGCAUUGAUAGAAAACCAGGUUUUGACUUGAGCGAGUUGCCCGAGUCAAGUCAAAAAAUGGCAAAACCUGGUCAAGAGUUAUUUAGCCUUGUCGGACAUAAAAUAAUGACCAGACGCGGUGUUUUAUCAAGUCAAAUCAAACUCGCCUGGGUCUGGUCAUGACCAGGAAACUGCAUCUCUCCCUUCGAGUCAGUCUCCAUCACAUUAUCUUACCUGAUGGUAGUCCUAAAGCUUUUCUCAUUAAAGAGAGAUGGGUUUCCAGCAUAUUUCUCUUCUUCCUCUUCCCUCCCUCACUCACCGUUACCGAUUGCCAUUAAAAAAUCGCUCUUCCUAGUGCCACCUCCGGUGACAGGUAGAAGGAGAAUGUGGACCAACUACAAAUGCAAAGCCUCUCUUUCCCAUCUAUGAACCCUCAACUUCAAAGGUUAUCACACCUUUGACUGUGUACAAAACCUCUAUAAGGAGUUCUACAUCUCUCCCUCCAAUGUAGUUCUCCAUCACAUUCUCUUCGAUCUCUUCAGCACCUUCCUUGCGUCUUCCCCUCCUUUGUUGUGCUCUCUCUCUCUGAGUCUCAAGGUAAGGUCAGGAGUCACGACAUCUCUCUCUUCCCUUCCAAAGUCCCAAUCCGGAGAAUACAUGACUUGCCUUGACUAGGUUUGACUCAUCCAAGUCAUAAAGUUUUAAGGAGGACGAGUCGAGUCGGAGAACCUGGUUUUCUAACUUUGCAUGAAAGUAAGGAUGGCGAUUUGUAUUAUGUGAUUGGGUUAGUUUGUGGCUUUAGCAGAUUUUGGGAUGUUCCUGCAGGUUUUCUUUGUUGGUCAUAGGUGAAAAUGUGGGUACAGAUGUUCCUUUUAUUGGAACCAAGGACUGUUGAUGGGAAGGUUGAUGAAAUAACCAAAGACAGACUAGUACCCUUGGAUUUGUUACGGCUUGUUGUAUCCUUAUUUUUUGCAUGGUAUGGGCCGUAUGGCUAUGUUGAAUGGAGGCCAUUGGAUGCACCAGUGAGGAGGAGUGAUCUGGUCCAAAUAGAAGGAUGUAAAAGAGCUAGGGGCAGGCCAAAAAUGUCCAUAGGAGAAAUGGUUUGGAAAGACAUGCACAGAUUAGGCCUUGCUCAAAGUAUGGCAUCGAAUAGGAGCAGAUUGGAGGUCCAGGAUUCGGAUAGCAGACUCCAUCUAGCUGUGUUCUACUUCAUUACUAUUUUUGUGAUUUGUUUCUUGUUACUUACUUUUCUUUUUACCAAUCCUUGCUUGGAUCUAUGUAGCCGACCCGAUUAAGUUGGGAUAAGGCUUUGUUGUUGUUGUUGUUGUUGUAUCCUUAUUUUUUAAGCUCUUAAUAAAAUAAUUGUUAUUCAAAAA